rnacentral:piRNA from 1 species
UAAUUUUCAGAAAGGGUGAGUCUGAGCCUGU